UGGUGUAGCUCAAUUGGCAGAGCAGCUGAUUUGUAAUCAGCAGGUUGCGGGUUCAAGUCCCAUCACC
rnacentral:tRNA from 6 species